rnacentral:rRNA from 1 species
UACGAAGGGUGCAAGCGUUGCUCGGAAUUAUUGGGCGUAAAGGGUUGGUAGGUGGUCUUGUUUGUCUAAGGUGAAAUCCCAUGGCUUAACUGUGGAAGUGCCUUAGAAACGGCAAGACUAGAGUCCUAGAGGGGUUUGUGGAAUUCCCGGUGUAGAGGUGAAAUUCGUAGAUAUCGGGAGGAACACCAGUGGCGAAGGCGGCGAUCUGGGAAGAUACUGACGCUGAGGUGCGAAAGCGUGGGGAGCAAACAGG